CUUCUGCAGGAACAAACGCACCUCCAAUGGUUUGUAGCCCCAAGGCCCCAUACGCCCCUUAUACACAACUUUCCCAGCCUGCAGCACGUAAAGCCUCUCCGGCAGAGCGCCGUACUGUGCGGCA